rnacentral:rRNA from 1 species
CCUACGGGAGGCAGCAGUGAGGAAUAUUGGUCAAUGGCCGUAAGGCUGAACCAGCCAAGUCGCGUGAAGGAAGAAGGAUCUAUGGUUUGUAAACCUCUUUUAUAGGGGAAUAAAGGUAUCCACGUGUGGAUAUUUGCAUGUACCCUAUGAAUAAGCAUCGGCUAACUCCGUGCCAGCAGCCGCGGUAAUACGGAGGAUGCGAGCGUUAUCCGGAUUUAUUGGGUUUAAAGGGUGCGUAGGUUGUUUUUUAAGUCAGCGGUGAAAGUUUGGGGCGCAACCAUAAAAUUGCCGUUGAAACUGGAAGACGUGAGUGGGUGAGAGGUAGGCGGAAUGCGUGGUGGAGCGGUGAAAUGCAUAGAUAUCACGCAGAACUCCGAUUGCGAAGGCAGCUUACUAAGCCAUAACUGACGCUGAAGCACGAAAGCGUGGGGAUCAAACAGGAUUAGAUACCCGAGUAGUC